UGUGGGGUUCCUGAGCAAGGGGACAUAGCAGCAGAGCCUGUGAUCCCUACCUGCUGCAGUGCCAGUGAGCACACUCAGGUUAUGGCCUGCAGAACCUGUCCUCCUGGCUCCAGAGCUGCCUUGGGGGACUUAAAAGAGCAGUUCAAAUCAACAGAAUGUCGUGGAUCCUAACACAAAUUUAACGUUAGGUCAGUUGUGGAGCUCAGCACUCCUAAAGCACAGUAGAGCCCUGAGAGCAACGUGAGUGCUUCUGAUCCGAAUCAAGCAUUGCUAUCUAAAGGGGAACGUUAACAGCCCGUGACCCAGAUGACCAAUGGAGAGCCCUGCAGCCGACACCAGACUACUUGAACCCUGCAGGACCUACCGGGAGCCCGCAGUCCGCCUCGUGUGCGAGCGCACGGCGCAGCAACCCUCAUCCUCCC